rnacentral:rRNA from 1 species
UACAGAGGGUGCGAGCGUUGUUCGGAAUUACUGGGCGUAAAGCGCGCGCAGGCGGCUUUCUAAGUCCGUCGGUGAAAGACCGGGGCUCAACCCCGUGUCAGCCAUGGAUACUGGGAGGCUGGAGACAGGUAGAGGCAGGCGGAAUUCCGGGUGUAGCGGUGGAAUGCGUAGAUAUCCGGAAGAACACCGGAGGCGAAGGCGGCUUGCUGGACCUGGUCUGACGCUGAGGCGCGAAAGCGUGGGGAGCGAACAGG